rnacentral:pre_miRNA from 1 species
CAAAUACUCCCUCCGUCCGGAAAUACUUGUCAUCAAAAUGGAUAAAAGGAAAUGUAUCUAGACAUAUUUUAGUUUUAGAUACAUCUCUUUUUAUCCAUUUUAAUGACAAGUAUUUUCGGACGGAGGGAGUAUUUA